UCACUAAUCAAGCUCGGCUUGCUGUUGGACCUCUUGUCGUUAAAAGGACAGGCCCCAAAGAUAAUGGCGGCGUCAAUAGGACCCUAGAUGCAACGAGCUUUCAUUAGCACGCAUUUUAGUAAGCCUUUUGACCCGGUCGUUUUAACCACAUUCUAA
rnacentral:misc_RNA from 1 species